GGAGCGGGGAAGAGUGCACGGGCUAGCAGGAGACAGGCAAGGAGGGACGCAGAAGAAACUGGAGGCUGAGGAAGCCAGCGGACCGCGAGCAGCAGGGAGAGGACCAGACGGCAUGCUCGGGUGGAGGGACCCCAGUCAGCGCCGGAGAAAUGAAUGAGCCAAGGGGCAGUCAGAGGCGACGGGGGUGACGGACAGCCAGCCCUCAGCGCAGCGAGAGGAGGAGCGAGAAGACCGGGACAGGCAGCGCCUGGGGACCGCAGCGCCGAGCGCCCGAGGUGAGAAGGAAAUGCAUUCAAUCAGUGGUGUAGAAACCUACGGAGGCCCUCCCACAAAUACUUCCCUAAAUGAGGAAAGGUCAAGAUUUGACAGGAAAGCAACUACUUGAUAGCAACUGAAGCAAACAGAAGUUUCAGGUACAAAUCCAUGUUGGGUCCAACCACAAGAUUAUACUCCCUGGGUUUAUAUGUCCUAGGCCAAGAAAGCCAAGGACAUAGGAAGAACUUUAAAGGAAAAACUAUUUAAAGUAUACUUAGGGGCCGGUGCUUUGGCGUAUCAGGUAAAGCCACCACCUGCAGCAGUGGCAUCCCACAUGGGCUCCGGUUCAUGUUCCAGCUGCUCCACUUCUGAUCCAGCUCUCUGCUAUGGCCUGGAAAAGCAGUGGAAGAUGGCCCACGUCCUUGGGACCCUGCACCCACGUGGGAGAACCAGAAGAAGCUCCUGGCUCCUGGCUUUGGAUCGGCGCAGCUACAGCCGUUGGCGGCCAGUUGGGAGUGAACUGGCGGAUGGAAAACCUUUUUUUUUCUCUAUCUCCCCCUCUGCCUCCUCUUCUCUCUGUGUGUAACUCUG